UCCGUAGGUGAACCUGCGGAGGGAUCAUUACACAAUAACCAGGCGGGCUGGACAUCCCCCGCUGGGCACUGCUUCACGGCGUGCGCGGCGGGGCCGGCCCUGCUGAAUUAUUCACCCGUGUCUUUUGCGUACUUCUUGUUUCCUGGGUGGGCUCGCCCGCCCUCAGGACCAACCACAAACCUUUUGCAAUAGCAAUCAGCGUCAGUAACAACGUAAUUAAUUACAACUUUCAACAACGGAUCUCUUGGUUCUGGCAUCGAUGAAGAACGCAGCGAAAUGCGAUACGUAGUGUGAAUUGCAGAAUUCAGUGAAUCAUCGAAUCUUUGAACGCACAUUGCGCCCUUUGGUAUUCCAAAGGGCAUGCCUGUUCGAGCGUCAUUUGUACCCUCAAGCUUUGCUUGGUGUUGGGCGUCUUUUGUCUCCAGUUCGCUGGAGACUCGCCUUAAAGUCAUUGGCAGCCGGCCUACUGGUUUCGGAGCGCAGCACAAGUCGCGCUCUUUGCCAGCCAAGGUCAGCGUCCAGCAAGCCUUUUUUUCAACCUUUGACCUCGGAUCAGGUAGGGAUACCCGCUGAACUUA
rnacentral:rRNA from 1 species